rnacentral:lncRNA from 1 species
GGAAAUGUCAAGUUUAAACUCUGGUUCCUUCAACAGCUUUACAGUCCUUUCCAUUCCUCCCAUCUGCUCCUGACACAUUUUAUGGAAAUAAAUGAAGUAUGAACAGCACGUGCCCCCAGUGGCUGGGGGGACAUGGCAGCAACAGGAACAGGGCAGUGUCUUUCAGAAUACUUAAUCUGCCCUCACAACAGCUGUUUAGUAUUUGUGGAAAUAUCUCAAGCCCUAGGAUCUGCACUGGAAGCUUUGGCAUCACCAUCCAAAAGCAAUGCAAGAUGCUGGGCUGCGUUCUGGUCAGUCUGCAUGUUCGCAGCGAGUGAGAUCUCGGAAUGGCGUGUGCUCAUUGAGCCUUGCUUCAGUUCCAUGGUCAUCACAGUGCUGUUCAAACAAAGCAACUUUGAAAAGAAAUCACUCCCUUCUACAAUGAUGGUAAACUCAUGAGAAGUCCCAGCUGCCUUUCCAGCAGUGAAAAAACUUCCUCUUCCAGGCUGAAAAGGGAGAAGAGUGAAAGUUUCUGAACAUAUGAAGCUGAAAAGGGAGGAAGACUAGAUGUGUCGGGGAUAGGUUUUCAGUUUUCAGUGAUCAGUUUACAGAGCUGGAUCCAGAUAAAAAUCUAUUUUUGGGUCUUAUAAAAUGACUGGUGGGUAUCUGACCAAUUUACAGUGUUCACAUCACUAAAAUCAAUAUCACAAAAAUCAGCCCUAACCAACCAUAUCAAGGGUAACUAAAACAAAGCGGCCAUAUAAAUCUGGACUAUUUCAAUGGCAAAGAUGGCCUUGCAAAACCACCAUUAAAGAAAAGUAAUAUGGAGGGUCAAAAACUAGUGGCUAUCAAUUGAUUGAACCAAACCAAACCUACGAUGACCUUCAGAGUCCACUCAACUAAAGGAACCUACUUUAUAACAUUAGCUCUGAAAUGUCUUUUCAAGAGAAGACUAGAGUAUCCAAAUAAAUUAUGUUGCCCUAUAACUACGAGUCA